UCUAGUUCUCUCUAGCUUACGCUCCACUCCCCUACAGUGGAAAAAUGAAUGGAGCUACAACCACCUACUUCUACUUUCAUUUCUUCUUUUCUUUCUAGCAAGUAGCAAGAGCUGGGUUCACUUUGAGCUACUCAGCCAUUCUCUUAUUUUCUUCCAGUAUAGCCUCUUUCUACUUUUCCUCUAGCUCUAAGUAGUAAUGCCUUUGGUAGCAAUGUGGUAGUAGUAUUAGAGAUUUGCUUUAAAGGAAAACAAAAAACAAAAAGUCUUCUAGCUAAUUCCAGACUCAUCUAGCUUAAAUACUCUGCCAGAUUAAGCUUACUCAUGAUGAGGUUGGGAGUCAAAGCUUCAGGGUUUUUUUUUUCUUUUUUUUUUUUUUUUAAUGUUUUGCUUUAUGUAAUGUACAUGAAACAAUGAACUACAGCUCCCACAUGAGGGAAUAUAAAGAAAGCUGAAAUUCAGUCUUCAUUCUAGCUGCCAGGCCAUACAUCAAUAAGACUGCAUCUUUCCAGAAAAGGCAUGUUUUUCCAAAUUUGCAAAAAAGUACUCUACGAAUUAGCAGCGUCCCUACCUUACUGGAUAAGAUAGUCUAGGGCACUGGUUCCCAAACUGCCUCACUGCAACAGAAUAACAUGAAGCAAUUUUGAAAAUCACAGAUUCCUGAAGUUGCACCUUCUGCAAAAGUCUCAUUCAGAAGACAUGAGGCAAAAGCACAAAAUAGAAAUUUGAGUUGUGAUAUGGUUUGGCUUUGUGUCCCCACCCUAAUCUCAUCUUAAAUUGUAAUCUCAUAAUCCUCACAUGUUGUGGGAGGGACCCGAUAGGAGGUAAUUGAAUCAUGGGGCUGGUUUUCCUCCAUACUGUUCUCGUGAUAGUGAGGAAGUUCUCAUGAGAUCAGGUGGUUUUAUAAGUAUAGGGCUUCCCCCUUCGCUCUGCACUCAUUCUCUCUCCUGCU
rnacentral:lncRNA from 1 species